rnacentral:rRNA from 1 species
AACAAACGCUGGCGGCGUGCCUAAUACAUGCAAGUCGAACGGGGAAAGCUUUCGGGUGAGUACUAGUGGCGCACGGGUGAGUAACGCGUGGAUAAUCUGCCCUCGAAUGGGGAAUAACUAGUCGAAAGAUUAGCUAAUACCGCAUAAGACCACGACUACUGAGGUAGUUGGGGUCAUAGGAGCAAUUCGUUUGAGGAUGAGUCCGCGUAAGAUUAGCUAGUUGGUGAGGUAAUGGCUCACCAAGGCGAUGAUCUUUAACUGGUCUGAGAGGAUGAUCAGUCACACUGGAACUGAGACACGGUCCAGACUCCUACGGGAGGCAGCAGUAGGGAAUAUUGGACAAUGGGGGCAACCCUGAUCCAGCGACGCCGCGUGAGCGAUGAAGGCCUUCGGGUCGUAAAGCUCUGUUGUAAGGGAAAAAGUUCUGAUUGUACCUUACGAGAAAGGAUCGGCUAACUUCGUGCCAGCAGCCGCCGUAA